rnacentral:rRNA from 1 species
UACGAAGGAGGCUAGCGUUGUUCGGAAUCACUGGGCGUAAAGCGCACGCAGGCGGAUCGAUAAGUCGGGGGUGAAAGCCCGGGGCUCAACCUCGGAAUUGCCUUCGAUACUGUCGGUCUCGAGUCCGGGAGAGGUGAGUGGAAUUCCUAGUGUAGAGGUGAAAUUCGUAGAUAUUAGGAAGAACACCAGCGGCGAAGGCGGCUCACUGGCCCGGUACUGACGCUCAGGUGCGAAAGCGUCGGGAGCAAACAGG